rnacentral:rRNA from 1 species
GACGAACGCUGGCGGCGUGCUUAACACAUGCAAGUCGAACGGAAAGGCCCUGCUUUUGUGGGGUGCUCGAGUGGCGAACGGGUGAGUAACACGUGAGUAACCUGCCCUUGACUUUGGGAUAACUUCAGGAAACUGGGGCUCAUACCGGAUAGGAGCUCCUGCUGCAUGGUGGGGGUUGGAAAGAUUCGGCGGUUGGGGAUGGACUCGCGGCUUAUCAGCUUGUUGGUGGGGUAGUGGCUUACCAAGGCUUUGACGGGUAGCCGGCCUGAGAGGGUGACCGGCCACAUUGGGACUGAGAUACGGCCCAGACUCCAACGGGAGGCAGCAGUGGAGAAUAUUGCACAAUGGGCGGAAGCCUGAUGCAGCGACGCCGCGUGCGGGAUGACGUCCUUCGGGUUGUAAACCGCUUUCGCCUGUGACGAGGCGUGAGUGACGGUAAUGGGUAAAGAAGCACCGGCUAACUACGUG